AUUGAACGCUGGCGGCAGGCCUAACACAUGCAAGUCGAGCGGAUGAAGGGAGCUUGCUCCUGGAUUCAGCGGCGGACGGGUGAGUAAUGCCUAGGAAUCUGCCUGGUAGUGGGGGAUAACGUCCGGAAACGGGCGCUAAUACCGCAUACGUCCUGAGGGAGAAAGUGGGGGAUCUUCGGACCUCACGCUAUCAGAUGAGCUUAGGUCGGAUUAGCUAGUUGGUGGGGUAAAGGCCUACCAAGGCGACGAUCCGUAACUGGUCUGAGAGGAUGAUCAGUCACACUGGAACUGAGACACGGUCCAGACUCCUACGGGAGGCAGCAGUGGGGAAUAUUGGACAAUGGGCGAAAGCCUGAUCCAGCCAUGCCGCGUGUGUGAAGAAGGUUUUCGGAUUGUAAAGCACUUUAAGUUGGGAGGAAGGGCAGUAAGUUAAUACCUUGCUGUUUUGACGUUACCAACAGAAUAAGCACCGGCUAACUUCGUG
rnacentral:rRNA from 1 species